CUCCAGUGCAAACCAGUCCGGCUGCUUUAGAAACAAGUUGUUUUCUGCUUCCAGAACCACCCAGGAGCCUGCGUGAUGUCUCUUCCCCCACCCGACCCCCUCUUCCCUCUGCCGGUCUCCUUGCUCCAGGUGUGGAGCAGAGAAAAGGCUAUACCCACUGAUGAACAGGGAUCCACACCUGGGGAAGAAGCAAGUAUGACUUUCUCUCCUGUGGCUUUACACAACCUCCUUGAAAUUCCAAGAGCAACCCUCCCAGCUAAAGUCUUCUCAGAUGUGACACGGCAGGAAGAGGGUACUUCCCUGCCACCAGUUUUUUGGUUUUUUGUUUUUUUAAAAGCCGGAUACAUUCCAGAGAUAAAGUGACCAGUGCUAUUAUUCAGAAAUAUCUUUAUGAGUCAGAACAGAAGUCACCCCUGGUAGGAAUGUUUGUCAGGUUGGGAGAAGAGAAACAGGACAACUUGCCCCGCUUCUUCUCUGGUUCUAGGAUCUGCACAAGCAGAGGCGGCACAGGGUUUGGCUUCCAGUUGGGAAAUGAAGCUCCAAGGGCAGCCCUACUAUGGCGGGCUGUGUGACCUGGGCCAAGCCCCUUGACAUCUCCAGACUCGGCUUCCACAUCUGCCACCACCAGGACACUGGAUUGAAUGUUGGGUACGUUGUAAGGCAAGGGAGACACAGAAGUCCUAAAGGCAAUAAAGCUUUUCCCCACUGCCCCUCCAUCUGGACGAGUCUCCUGCCAAGCAUCUUCAAGUCCCACUUUGAAACACGAUUCUGCCACCUUCCUGUUCUGAGGAUCUGGGAAAGCAAGGGGGAAGGGGCUAUUGGGAGUCCCGCUUGCUCCAGGCCCAGACCAGGAGGCUCAGGCAGGCUUAUCUACUUCUGAUGUGGUGGGGGGCCCAGGAUGCUGCCAGGGUCUCACAGCCAUGGUCUCACAGCCACUAUCAGCCUGUCCUCAAGGGUAUAAGAGAAGCUGGAAGCCUAGAUGGGCACUGCCCUCAGGCAACUUCCAAUCCAGCCAAGAAGAAUAAAGAGUAACACACAAAAUAUUGGGGGCAUGAGGCAAUAACUGUGGGUACACCUAUAAAAACCUCUAAUUGGGCUUACCUGGUACCAGACAGUAUUUUAAUUGGAUCAUAUAUAGUGCAUUAAUUCAGUUAAUAUUCACAACACCCCUAUGAGGUAGCUACAAUUAUUAUCCCCAUUCGAUGAUGGGGAAAACUGACAUCAGAAGAGGUCAACUUGCCCAAGUUUCCAGAGCUGAAAAGCAACAGAGCUGAGAUUUCACUGCAGGUAUUCUGGCCCCAGAGUCUUGGUACAAAUAGUGUUAAUGAACAAGUCUUCUUCUGGUAAGAGCACCCCAAUUUUCCUUUGGAGAACCUCCACUUCCUCAUUUCAUGUGCCAUGGGUGACCCUACCCUUGAGCUCUUGAGGUGAACACAUGGACACACGAUCCAGUCCUGACCAAACAGAAUAUCUCACUUCCCUGGCUACAGUUAGUGAUAGGUUCAGGAUUGUAGCAAUGACCCAAGACUGGCUUCUGAGAGUCACAUUUGAGACUGUGGCUCAAACUCUUAGAGAAGCACUCGUUUUUCAACUGAGACACUACAGUCUUUACUACUCCUUGAAGACGGACUACCAGGAAGAAAGCCAACCUAGAGGGCUGCAAAGCUGAGCAGUGGAGAACAGCAAGUUCCUGAUGACAUUGUUUGAUGGCCUAAACCCCAUUAUACUUCCACUGGUUAUCUCCCUGGACUUUCCUGUUACACAGAAAUUAUCCCUUUUGUGUUGAAGCCAAUUUGAAUUGGAUAUCUGUCACUUACAACCAAAAAGGUCCAAAUGUGCUAGUGAACACAGAGCACAUACUGUGAGCAACUACUCUUUUUCUUCUUUCUUUCUUUCUUUUUUCUGAGACAGAGUCUUUCUCUGUCACCCAGGCUGGAGUGCAGUGGUGCAAUCUCGGCUCACUGCAACCUCUGCCUCCUGGGUUCAAGUGAUUCUCCUGCCUCAGCCUCCCGAGUAGCUGGGAUUAUAGACACGUGCCACCACGCCCGGCUAAUUUUUGUAUUCUUAGUAGAGACGGGGUUUCACCAUGUUGGCCAGGCUGGUCUCGAACUCCUGACCUUGUGAUCUGCCCACCUCGGCCUCCUAAAGUGCUGGGAUUACAGGUGUGAGCCACCGCGCCCGGCCCGAGCACCUAAGCUUUUCAAGACAUUUCCAGAAAAACAAAUGCAGGUAAGAAAGGAUCAGUCUUCAAAGAACUUGGAAGCUGGUGAGGGAUUACAAAGAUUCUCAAAUAACUUUAAAACAAGUCAGAACACAAUUGACAGCACAAGGCAGCUACCCGGGUUCUCUGGUUAAUGCAAAGGGUGAGAAUUUUCUAUAUUGGAUGGAACACAUCAGAAAAGUUCUCACGAAGGUGGUAGCAGUGAAAUUGGCCUCAGAAGUCUGAUAGGAUGUUGGCAGGUGAAGGCAGGGAAGCUACAGGGCAGACAGCAUGAGGAAGGGCCCAGGUUCAGGGAAGUAUGGGCAUGCAGGGGCAAGUGUAAAUUGAUGGGAUUGCCUGGGACCAGAGGAAAGGUCUAAAACGUACAGUCUGAGGCUGGGGCGGGGUGGGGAAAGGAUGGUUCUGAGGUAUCUGAAGUAUCUCCAAAUAUCUGAAGAUAUUCCCCAUGGAAAAGAAACUAGGCUUAUUUGGAGUGACCCCAGAGGACAAGACUACGACUAAAAAUGGACGCUCGCAAAUGGAGGAAGUAGACCUGACCCCUGACUAAGGAAGAUGGUGCUACCUGUUUGGGGCAAAUGUUCAAAAAGAGGCUGUGUCUGUAUGGUGGAUGCUGUUAAAAGGGACUCAGAAACCAAAUGAGAGUCUGAAUUAGCUGAGUUUAACAUUCUGUGAGUUUUGUGCCAGACUUGGGACUACUGCAGAAGACCCUGGGAGAGUUGGGAUUGAAUUCCAAAGGCAGUGCUGAUGGACACUGACUUGAGGAGCCAGGAAAGAAGGCAGGAACAGUGGUGGGGAUCACAGCCUCACCUGUAUCUGUGCACUUCUAUAAAUUCACAGACUGGGAAUUUUUAAUGUGAACUGGAUAUUAGAUGAUGACCAGGAAUUGUUUUAAUUCUGUUAGGUGGGAUAAUACCAUUCACUGUGCUGUGUAAGAUAAUGUCCAUAUUGUUUAGAGAUGCAUACUGAAGAAUAUAGGAUGAAAUGACAUAAUGUUUGGAUUUUUUAUUUUAAAUAUUUCAGCAAAAUGUGGGGACAAAUUUUAUAUACAUUAUUUUUUCACACAUAUGUGGUAUUCAUAUAUACACAAAUGUAUAUAUUACACACAUGUAUAUGUACAUACAUAUAUGGGUGUAUAUCUAUGUGGGUAUGUGUAUAUGCUACAUGCAUGUGCAUAGCUGGUUAGCAAAUAGAAUAGUUAACAAAAUAAGCCAGACACAAGAUAAUACAUAUUGUUCCAUUAUAUACUUUUUUUUUUUUUUUUGAGACGGAGUCUAGCUCUGUCACCCAGCUGGAGUGCAGUGGCACAAUCUUGGCUCACUGCAACCUCCACCUCCCGGAUUCACAAGCGAUUCUCCUGCCUCAGCCUCCCAAGUAGCUGGGAUUACAGGCCCCUGCCACCAUGCCUGGCUAAUUUUUGUAUUUUUAGUACAGACAGAGUUUCACUGUGUUGGCCAGGCUGGUCUCAAACUCCUGACCUCGUGAUCCGCCCGCCUCGGCCUCCCAAAGUGCUGGAAUUACAAGCAUGAGCCACGUGCCUGGCCUAUAUACAUUUUUUUAAGGCAAAUGAAUCUAUGAUGGUAGAAGUCAGGGCAUGGUUGGCCUUGUAGGGUCAGGGGAAGGCAGAGACGAGAGGGGUCCAAGGGCCUCUGGUGCUGGCUGAGUGCUGUUUCUAGGCUGAGUAAUGUGUGCACAGGCCUGCUGGCUCUGUGCAAACUCAUUGAGCUGUGCACAUGAUUUGUGUACCUUAUGUAUGUUUUAGACUUCAAUAAAUUCACUCCAAAAUACCACCCCCUACACACAAACACACAGACACAGACACACAGACACACACACACACAGACACACACACACACACACACACACACACACACACACACACACACACGGGGAGAGAUCUGAAGUAAGUAGGAUUCCUCCAUUGAUCAUUUCUUGAGAAGCGGGGAGAAGACAUGCUCUGGGCUAUGCUUUAAGCAAGAGUUUUCCAAACAAAUUUGCUACUUUCCAGAGUGAGAUGUUUUUUUCCCAUGACCCAUGGGGCAUAUGUCAUGGGCUGCAGCCUGAAGUUGAAAAGUCUGGUUUUAAGCUGAUCUCUCUGGUGGCAGGGUAAAGAAUGGAAGGCAACAGGAAGAGCCCAGAGAGGAGGCUGGCAGCUUGUGUCUUCUGCCAUGGUUCAGGAGAGAGGUAGGGAGACUCUGUAGCAGGGCCAGGUGACAGGAAGGCAAGUGUGCUUCAGAGAAAGAGUCCAGCUUCAUUGUGUGGGCAGGCCCUGCCACUCCAGCUGCCUGGGGUAUGCUCAGAGGGACAGGGGAGGCCUGCACAGACUCAGCCAGACACCCCAAGGACAACACACGCAGAGUGCAACCAGGUGCU
rnacentral:lncRNA from 1 species